GAUGAACGCUGGCGGCGUGCCUAAUACAUGCAAGUCGAGCGAAUGGAUUAAGAGCUUGCUCUUAUGAAGUUAGCGGCGGACGGGUGAGUAACACGUGGGUAACCUGCCCAUAAGACUGGGAUAACUCCGGGAAACCGGGGCUAAUACCGGAUAACAUUUUGAACCGCAUGGUUCGAAAUUGAAAGGCGGCUUCGGCUGUCACUUAUGGAUGGACCCGCGUCGCAUUAGCUAGUUGGUGAGGUAACGGCUCACCAAGGCAACGAUGCGUAGCGCAACGGAGAGGGUGUGCGGCCACACUGGGACUGAGACACGGCCCAGACGCCUACGGGAGGCAGCAGUAGGGAAUCUUCCGCAAUGGACGAAAGUCUGACGGAGCAACGCCGCGUGAGUGAUGAAGGCUUUCGGGUCGUAAAACUCUGUUGUUAGGGAAGAACAAGUGCUAGUUGAAUAAGCUGGCACCUUGACGGUACCUAACCAGAAAGCCACGGCUAACUACGUGCCAGCCGCCGCAGUAA
rnacentral:rRNA from 1 species